UUAGAGUCUCUUUCAUGUGGGAAAUGCUUUUCUGUGAAGACUUGCAGAAUAUUUGCCCAGAAUGGACAUGAAGGAAGUGCCCUGGUGUGAGCUGAGGAGGAACACAAGAAGGAACAGAUGCAGUUUUGAAGGUCCUCACUGCAAGCACAACAGCUAGGUAAUAUGCAGCCAUGCUCAGGAUAAGAAGUUUGCUAAAAACAGCAGCGUGUACCUAUCCUGGGGAAAGAGAAGAGAAGAGAAGAGAAGAGAAGAGAAGAGAAGAGAAGAGAAGAGAAGAGAAGAGAAGAGAGAAAAUAAUGAUAACAGCAUUACAUACCUGAGAGGUUUAAAAAAGCAUAAAAAUUUUUGGUUGAUAUACAAGCCUUCUUGUUGCUAGUUGCAGACUUGACAUAUUAGUUAUUCACAUGAAGCCUCUGGAAAAGCAGUAAUGUUCUGUUCUUAUCUUGAAAAUGUGACAUAUUUUAAUUGAUAGAAUGAAUUGUAUUCUAGGCACUUCUUGGAUCCACUGAGAUCUAAAAAAAAUUAUCUAAAUUGAGAUUUUUAACAUAUCUGCUAGCAAACUCAGGAAUUGAAGUGUAAAAUCCAAGGUACCAUGAAGAUUUGAAAUAGUCUUAAUUUUAUAUGGUAGUUCAACAUCAAGUGUCAGAGAACGCAGCUGAAAACACUGCUUCUAUUAAGAUAAGCAAUAUGGUAUUUUUAUUUAAUUAAUGACUUAUGGAUCAGUCUCAGU